AGAAUCUCACCCUGACCAAGGGGAACUUCCGAAGUCACCAGCAGCUCUCGGAGGUGCAGCAAGCCGUCAAGCAGCUAAAGAUGGAUCUGCAGCAAGUCAAGGAAGAGAGAGACGCGCAGGGGAAGGAGCUGGCCAAGGAAAAGCUCCGCUCCGCCGAGCUGACGGAGACGAUUCGGGAGCAACGGGAGAUCCAGGAGGUCCUUCAGAGCAAAAUAAACCAACUGAAAGAAGAGCUGGAGGAUUCGGAACAGCAGAACGCGCUGUAAGUCAAAGGGUGGG